AAGUCGUAACAAGGUUUCCGUAGGUGAACCUGCGGAAGGAUCAUUAACACGUAUCCAACGUUAAACCCCUGUGAACCAUCAUUGUGCUCCCCCAUUCCGUUAGGCAAUCCCUGGUAAAUCAUCGCCGAACAGUUUUGAUUCAGGGACCUCUGCAUGGAGUGGGCAGCAGCGCGACGCAGUAACGAUCGCUAGAGGACGCUCACGCCUAUCACCAACGGGUCUGCGCUUAAUUGUGCGGCCACCAAACUCGAACAACUGUUAACAAUUGAUAUCUUGGUUCUC
rnacentral:misc_RNA from 1 species